rnacentral:sRNA from 1 species
UCAUUUGAAAAAGGGCGCACCACGUGGA